GUCUGUGAUGCCCUUAGAUGUUCUGGGCCGCACGCGCGCUACACUGACAGAGCCAGCGAGUCAUUUUCCUUGGCCGGAAGGCCUGGGUAAUCUUGUGAAACUCUGUCGUGAUGGGGAUAGAGCAUUGCAAUUAUUGCUCUUCAACGAGGAAUACCUUGUAAGCCCGAGUCAUCAGCUCGGGUUGAAUACGUCCCUGCCCUUUGUACACACCGCCCGUCGCUACUACCGAUUGAAGGCGUUAGUGAGGUCUUCGGAUCGAGCUCCGGUCCGCUUCACGGCAGACUGGAGCUUGAAAAGUUGCACGAACUUGCGUCUUUAGAGGAAGUAAAAGUCGUAACAAGGUUUCCGUAGGUGAACCUGCGGAAGGAUCAUUAUUGAACUUUCGUCGUGGUCGCUUCAGUGCGCUCGACAACCAAUUUCAUUUACACCUGUGAACUGUCCCUUUUUUAUAUACGCGAAUACAAGUCGAGUAUGUUGUCAUCUUUUGAUGUAAUAAUCGAAAAUACAACUUUCAGCAACGGAUCUCUUGGCUCUCGCAUCGAUGAAGAACGCAGCGAAACGCGAAAUGUAAUGUGAAUUGCAGAACCUCCAGUGAAUCAUCGAAUCUUUGAACGCAUCUUGCGCCCCGUGGCAUUCCGCGGGGCAUGUCUGUUUGAGUGUCGUUUGACCUCUCAACCGCUUUGGUAUUCGAUUACAAAAGUCGGCUUGGAACUUGGGUGCCUCUGGCGAAACGCAAAAGGUCUUUGCGGACCUGUCGCCCACCCCAAAGUCAGUUGGGCCAACCGCGCGGAUGAGCGGACGGUUUGACCACAGUGUUGUAAGGUUCGCCUCACUGUCGGGACGUCCAUUUCCGUCGCAUAUAGGCAUUUGAAAUACGAUACUAUUGAUUUUGACCUCAAAUCAGACAGGAUUACCCGCUGAACUUAAGCAUAUCAAUAAGCGGAGGAAAAGAAACUAACUAGGAUUCCCCCAGUAACGGCGAGUGAAGAGGGACUAGCCCAACUUUGUAAUCGGUUGCCUUUGGUAUCCGAGUUGUAGUCUAGAGACGUAGGACCCGGUCAUUGUCGGCCGUCGAGAUGGCUCGGAUGCCGUGUCAGAGAGGGUGCCAACCCCGUACGACGGUCUUGCACUUUGGCCACCGCGGUCCGCGCUCCAAGAGUCGAGUUGUUUGGGAAUGCAGCUCCAAUCGGGUGGUAAAUUCCAUCUAAGGCUAAAUAACGGCGAGAGACCGAUAGCGAACAAGUACCGUGAGGGAAAGAUGAAAAGCACUUUGGAAAGAGAAUGAAACAGUAUGUGAAAUUGCUGGAAGGGAAACGCUUGAAGUCAGCUUUGCGCGGAACGGUUCAACCCGGUCUUUUUGAUCGGGCUUACUUCGUUCCAUUGCGGGCCAGCAUCGGUUUGAGGACCGUCAACAGGGCGAGAGGAAGGUAGCCUGGAUUCGUCGAGGUGUUAUAGCCUCUCGCUGGACGGCGGACUUGAGAUCGAGGAACUUUGCAGUGCGCCGUUUCGGCGGCCCCGGUCGCGGCCGGGUACGCACUCAGGAUGCUGGUGGAAUGGCUUUAAACGACCCGUCUUGAAACACGGACCAAGGAGUCUAACAUGCAUGCGAGUGUUUGGGUGUCAAACCCUUUCGCGUAAUGAAAGUGAAUGGAGGUGGGAUCCCGUCAAACGGAGCACCAUCGACCGGUCUGGAUUUUUAAUGAUGGAUCUGAGUAAGAGCAUGUACGUUGGGACCCGAAAGAUGGUGAACUAUGCCUGAAUAGGGUGAAGCCAGAGGAAACUCUGGUGGAGGCUCGUAGCGGUUCUGACGUGCAAAUCGAUCGUCAAAUUUGGGUAUAGGGGCGAAAGACUAAUCGAACC
rnacentral:rRNA from 1 species